AUGGCAUCCUUCUACGCAGCCAUAGGUUUCAUCCUCCCCUUUCUCCUCACCAUCGCAUUGCCCCAAUCUACUGGUUCCCCUCCUGCGGCGCCGUCGACCACCGGGUCAUUAUCCAUCGAGGACGCCUGCAAGCAGACCACCAAGCUCUACGACCUCUGCAUGGCGACGCUCUCCCCGGACCGGUCCUCCUUGACGGCUGAUGCUGUGGGCCUGACCAGGGCGGCCAUCCUGGCUGUCCAGAAGAACGCGUCCGAGACAGCCACAUACCUCACGAACAUCGAUGAAGAUGACAACUUCAAUAAAACGGCGCAGCUGCAACAAUGCCUCGAGGGCUGUGGGGAGCGGUAUGAGGCGGCCGUGGAGCAGCUGGCAGACGCGACAAUCGCGCUGGACAUGGGGGCAUACGACGAGUCGCAGGUGCUGGUAUCUGCAGGCCAGGCGGAGGUGAAGCUGUGCCAGAAGGGGUGCCAGGACUCACCAGAACACCGGAGCAUCCUCAUGGCGCGCAACACCGAGGUCGACCAGCUCUGCAAUAUCACUCUCGCUAUCGCCAAGCUUAUCCCCCGGUGA
rnacentral:rRNA from 1 species